CCUCUGCUUGCUUACAAUAAUUCUACUAAAAAUCUAUCAUAAUGUUCAAAAAUCAAAAUGCUUCACUUUCGAACAUUAAAUGCACUCAUUCUUGAUUUCUCUCUUCUAGCACAUACCCUAAUAUUCUGCUUUCUAGGAUGUCUAUAAGAGGACUACUUGGCAUUGAGUAAAUGCUCAACUCAGAGACAUAGAAGAAAAGGGUAGGAUGAGUGGAAUUAGUUUUGCCAAUACUGCUAUUGCCAUGCCUGGGCUAAGGCCAAAUGGGCACCAAAUGAACAAGAGCAACAACUGCCACCACUUCCAGAUGCCUCUGCACUACCCAAGAUACAGAAAGAGUGACUAUGAGACCAUGCCUGAGUGGAAACUGGACUGCCUGUUGAAUGAGUAUGGAUUGCCUGUCACUGGAGAUGUCACCCAGAAGAGGAACUUUGCCAUGGGAGCCUUUCUUUGGCCUUCCCAAGAAUGAUUUGAAGUCUAUAGCAAUAUAUUACACUAUGUUCAGGGAAAUUAAUUAUUAGUUUUCACUAAGUACUAUCAUAGAUGAUAAGCUUGGAUUAGCUAUGGGAUUGAUUUAGAUUAUGUAAUCUUUAAUACUGUAAUGUUCAUCUUUUGUCUAUGUAAUGUUUCUAUGCAAAUAUAAUGAAGAUAGAUAUUCAACUUAAAA